rnacentral:rRNA from 1 species
ACAACGGCAGCUCUAGUGGUAACAAUUUUUAUUGGGCCUAAAGCGUCCGUAGCCGGUUUAAUAAGUCUCUGGUGAAGUCCUGUAGCUUAACUGUGGGAAUUGCUGGAGAUGCCAUUAGACUUGAGACCGGGCGAGGUUAGAGGUACUCCCAGGGUAGAGGUGAAAUUCUGUAAUCAUGGGAGGACCGCCUGUUGCGAAGGCGUCUAACUGGAACGGUUCUGACGGUGAGGGACGAAAGUUAGGGGCGCGAACCGGAUUAGAUACCCGGGUAGUCCUAACUGUAAACGAUGCGGACUUGGUGUUGGGGUGGCUUUGAGCUGCUCCAGUGCCGAAGGGAAGCUGUUAAGUCCACCGCCUGGGAAGUACGGUCGCAAGACUGAAACUCAAAUGAAUUGGCGGGG